GGCUCCAUAGUGUAGUGGUUAGCACGUCUGCUUUACAUGCAGAAGGUCCUGAGUUCGAGCUCCAGGUGGAGCCA
rnacentral:tRNA from 1 species